rnacentral:misc_RNA from 1 species
UCCGGUUUGUCACCGGCGGUCUCCUUAGAGUUCCCGCCAUUACGUGCUGGCAACUAAGGACAAGGGUUGCGCUCGUUGCGGGACUUAACCCAACAUCUCACGACACGAGCUGACGACAGCCAUGCAGCACCUGUCUCACGGUUCACGAAGCCAUCUCUGGCGACUUCCUGACAUGUCAAGGGUAGGUAAGGUUUUUCGCGUUGCAUCGAAUUAAUCCACAUCAUCCACCGCUUGUGCGGGUCCCCGUCAAUUCCUUUGAGUUUUAAUCUUGCGACCGUACUCCCCAGGCGGUCGACUUCACGCGUUAGCUGCGUUACCGAAGGAGUUACCCUCCGACAACUAGUCGACAUCGUUUAGGGCGUGGACUAC